GGUCAUUAAAACAGCAGAUGACGAUUUUUAGAAAAACUGUCUCAUAAGUUAUUCAAAACCAUUUUUGAAGGAAGUAAAUUUUGUUUUGUUUUUUUUUUUUUCUUUUUAUUACUUGCGCCUUAGCCCUCUCUCACUCCGCCUCCAUCGAUCUCUUUACGCCCUCUGACUCCGUCUGUACGUGUCACUCCGCCUCUGUCAGCGCCGCCACCGUCGUAGUGUCUCCUGCACCGUCGCUCUCUCACCAUUGAAGUCAUUGUUGUCGUCGUGGGGGUUGUGAGGGAAUAUUGGUGUUGCUCCAUCUGGUGCGCGUCUCAUUCAAUUUAAUUUGUUUUUCCCUUUUUAUUCUCCUAUAGCUUGAAGGGGUUGUUUUGGUGCAUCCCUUUUUCUGGGGAGAGGAAUCGUUUGGGUGUGAAGCAAACCGACCUGAACAAGCGAAGAAGAUGCACGAUUUGUGGCGGUUUGUGUCCCGAUUGUUAACCCAAGUAAGGAUCCGAAGCUAGGGAAGGUAGCUUGUGAAAGAUUGCUUCUUUGCGUUGCGGAGAAGGAUUUGGUGAGGGACAGGGGUUUGUUCUAUAAGGAGUUGCUUGAGAAGAAUGGGUGUUCUGGUGUUGCGGAGUGGUGGAGACGAAGGAUGAGGACCAUGUUUUCCAUUUGCUUCUAUGCUUUAUUUUUGUUUGAGAAGAAUGGGUGUUGCUUCUAUGGUUCGAACACCCAUUCUUAAAACGAAGGGAGAAGAGCUGAAGAAGGCAAAUGGUGCUGCUGUGUACAUACAAUGCAGCUCAAAGACUCUGCAGGGUGAGGCAUCAUUUGAUAGAUAUGGACUGACUAUUGGGCUUCCAGCAGCUACAGUUGUUUUAUUGAAAAAUCAGCUUCUAUAGCGAUUCUCUCAUGGAAUAGGUAGAAACUUCCAGACGAUCACACGUUAUUAUUCUUUGACACCUUCAAAAUACUCAUGGACAUACAUGAGGACUGACUUAGAGGGUUUAACUAGAUUCGAAAACCAUGUGAAGCUGGGAAGAUGAAGAUACUUGUGUAUGAAACGUUUCCCAUAGCACAAGUAAAAGAAGCUCAUGAGGCAAAAUUCAAGAAGCUCUUCUGUCUGAACCAUCAAAUUAGAAUAAAAAAAAAAGACCUUUCGGAUUGUGCAAGCCCUUGAGCCAAGGUGUUACAAGGAGCUACAAAAUGAGAAUUUCAUUUCAACCAAAAUAGUCAUGUGCAUUUACAAGAAAUUUCUGUUUUCUUGUAAAGAACAAAUGUGAGUUCAUAUUUAUCUUAUCUUUUAUGCUUGUGUACAUAUAUUUCUGUUAGAAUAUCUUAGAUAUUUUUAGUAGUUUAUCAUGUAUAUAUGGCAAAAUCAAUUAGGAGCAAUCUUAUGACCAAUAUAGGAUGGGAUGUGUGUAUAAUUAGGAUUGAAUCAUUGUAUUGGAUACUAAUACUUUUUCUUUAACAAAUUGUUCUUAGAAUUCCUAGGUGUGUCCAUUGAGAAAAUUUUCACCCAUGAUGCCUGAAACAAUCCUCUGGUCUAAACUAACUCUGGAAUUGGAUAUACAUCUAUCCUCCCAUAGCAUUUUAUUUGUCUGAGCAAUUCUAGAUUAUUUUGGGGAAAUAGUUUAUAUCUCUCUGGUCUGAUCAUUAAUUGCCAAGAUCUUCCUAGGUCUCAACCAUUUUUCUGUCUGCAUAGUGCCAAAAACAGCUACAAUAAGCAUCAAUGUAUUUUGCCUUUAGUCCUCUCUAAA